rnacentral:rRNA from 1 species
UUGAGCUUGAUCCUGGCUCCAGGAUGAACGCUAGCGGCAGGCUUAACACAUGCAAGUCGAGGGGUAGAGUUCUUCGGAACUUGAGACCGGCGCACGGGUGACGUAACGCGUAUGCAAUCUACCUUUUACAGAGGGAUAGCCCAGAGAAAUUUGGAUUAAUACCUCAUAGUAUAAUGACUCGGCAUCGAGAUAUUAUUAAAGUCACAACGGUAAAAGAUGAGCAUGCGUCCCAUUAGCUAGUUGGUAAGGUAACGGCUUACCAAGGCAACGAUGGGUAGGGGUCCUGAGAGGGAGAUCCCCCACACUGGUACUGAGACACGGACCAGACUCCUACGGGAGGCAGCAGUGAGGAAUAUUGGACAAUGGGCGCAAGCCUGAUCCAGCCAUGCCGCGUGCAGGAUGACGGUCCUAUGGAUUGUAAACUGCUUUUGUUCAGGAAGAAACACUGGUUU